UCAGUCUUAACAUUUAUACUGAAAACAAACUUGCUGAAUAAUGGCAAAUUUAAACUUAUUGAGGGUUUUUUUUUUUUAUAUGACAGCAGACACAUCAAAUAAUGUCUGAAAGCCCAAGCCAUUGGAGGAUACAUACAGAUAUCACUUCAGAAGACAGAUGCAUCAAUGCUUUUAAAGGGAGAGGUGUUCAGCUGUACUGAGUUUGAUAAAGGGGAUUUUCUGCUGAGGAGACUCGAGCAGUGAAGAAUAUAUCAUCAUGAUGCCCUCAAAGUUAUCAUGUUUGAGUUUCAUUACGAUGGAAAACUCCUCUGGCUACAUCAAAAAUAAAUUCAAUGUUGAAGCAAAUAUAAUUAAGCAUUCUCCUAGCAAUGCGCAGACGAAUGCAAGUUGGCAAAAAGGCACCACAGUGAUUGUGUCAGUGUGUGUAAACCAGACUGAUUUCUGGAACAUUGUAUUUGAACAUUAAACAUUUUUGUUUGUUUGUUUUUGUCUGUAAUGAAGCCUGUCAUGAAUAUAAUCUAGACAGUAAAAAAAGGUAAUACAUUCAAUAUAAUUCAAGUUAUGAAAGAAGACUAAAUUAAUUGAAAUAAAAAAUGAAAAUAAAACAUGAAUUUGUUGAUUUGUCUCAUUUCAAAUCACGUCUGACAUUUAUAAUGUGACUGCAGGUUAUGCAACAGGCAUUGAACAAUGAAAAGUGUCUACAUUGAGGUGUUUAAGUAAACCGUAAAACACAAUCAAAAACUACCAUUGGUUAGUUAAGGAUACAGAAGAUUAAAAAAUAAAUAAAUAAAUACAAAAUUACAUAUAGUCCUGAAUAGGAAUAGGGGCCCAUUUGGAUCCUAUUAAAAUCCUGUAGAAAUUAUCCUACAGGAUAUUUAUUUAUUGUCUUAUAAGACAAUUCCCACAGAA